ensembl:lncRNA
GUUUCCAAGCAGCCAUGAUCACUAGCCCUCAGUUCUGAAAUGAUGGGACAGUCCAGCUCCUCCCACAACCUGCAGCCCUGUCUUUCCCAGCGGAGGCUGAAGCUCCCACAGUUGGUCCUGCUGUGGAGGAUGGAGGAGAAGGUGCUUCCUGUAGUGCUCAGUAAUUGCCAGAAAUCAUUGCAGCUUAGAGACUGGAGAAAACAUGAUACCCAAACACCCCUCAAAUCUGCCUGCAGCAUCCUUUGAAAAGAAAGGGAUUGAACUUGGGAUCUUGCACUUGCAAGGCAGAUGGUGGAACCACUGAGCUAAAUCCCCAGUCUUAAUAUGAACAAAUUUUAUUUGUUAUAUGUGCCUUGAUAAAGCUGGAAGGGGAACACAAGGAACAUUUUCAAGUCACCAUGUGUUUACCCUUUCUUCUCAGCCAGUGAGAUGUUUCCAUCAAGCACAAGGAAUUGUAUUAAUUCCCUCCUUCAACAAGUAUUUAUUAGGCACCACAACACACGAGGUCUGCAAUGGCUGGGAAUGUGUCUAUGAGCAGAGACACAGAUGGUCCUUCGCAGAGCUGAGGUUCCAGGUGACAUUCGACCCAAGCAAAUGAUGAGCCAUGAUCGUGAUGAGUGUCACAAAUGAGAGCUCAGGGAGGUGGGGGUGGGGGAGCCAUGUGGGCAAAAGCUUAGAAGAAGGGAGCAAGUCCUGUGUCUGGGAAGGGGUAGCAAGAACACAGAUCCAUAGGGGAGACUGUUCCCAUGCUGGCGAAGCAGCCAGGGAGGGUCCCAGUGAACGUGGGGGAAAUUAGGAAUGGGGAGGGAAGCCAUAGAAAAAAGACAAAUGGAUGCAGGUCACAGUAAGAAUGGAGUCUACACUGCAUGAGCCAUGCCACCUUCAGAACAGAGCUGAGUGGCAGGACCAUGUGACUCAGAGGGCAGGGGCAGUGAGACCAGGUGGUGGCAGAGACGUGGUGUUGGACCUGCCCUGAAGGAGGAGUCAGCAUGAGCCCCUGAUGACUGGGUCUUAAGUUUGCUGUGCACAAGGAUUUAAGGACCACACCAACCAAGCCUGGCCUGGCAUCAUCAACUGAGAAAAGGAAGCCUCCAGCAACACCAGGUUUGGGGAGAAAUUAGGAAUUUGGUGUGUACAUGCGAAGUCUGAGUUGCCCAUAAGAUAUCUAAGAAAGAAUAUAGGGCAGACAAUUGAAUGUGUGAGUCUGGACUACAGAGACAUGCUGAUGACAGGCGUGAUAUCGUUUCGUCAGCUCGUGUGUGGAUGAUGAGAGGACUGAAGAGGGAGUGUAGACCCAGAGUAGGGAACACACAUAUUCAAUCUAGGAACUAUGAAGUAUGGCCGAGUGACAGACACUGAGAGGGAAGACGUAGAGAAACUACCUGCCAAACAGUCUGCAUGAGAGUGAGAGCUUAUCAGCACAAGAGCAGCACCUGAGUGCAGACGCCAUUCAGCUCUGUCUGAGUUUGAAGCAAUCCUUAUGCCCCUCACUACAGUGUAGCCAGCCAUAAACCUGAUAGGGCCCUGGGGCCACCCUAUUAAAGAGAACAGGCUCUGGCUAGUUGCCAGCUGAUUGCUUCACUCUUCCUGGGGCCAAGCUGGAUUCAGUGAAGGACGCCACACAGCAGUGGAUACACAUAGGGUCCUCCACACCCAGCCUUGGGCCAAGACCCAGGUCCUUUGUACCCGCUGGACAUUGACCUGGCUGUGUCAAUAAACAGAGUCACUGGAGUUAGUUCUACCUGGUACAGUCCUGUACUCCAGGUUUGCCAGACAGAGGUGGAGCCAGAUGGACAGCGCAGAGGUGUGGUACUUGGCUGUGACUGGCAGUGACUCUAGCUGGGUUUCCUUUCUUAAGCUAUCAGAACAUCUUGUUUUGGCCUUAGGAAGAAAAGCAUUCUCUUGGAUCCUUGAACUAUGUGUGAAGCUUGUGAAUACUUGCUGCCUAGAAGACAAGGUGACAAUUAAGUCCCCGGUCCACAGUGAGUGUCCAGGGGUCAUACACAGCAGCGGGCUGCAGACCUGGAAGGCUCAGCUGGAGGAAAGUCUGAGCAGACAUUCAUAUUCCCUGGGGCUGGUCCCACAGGGAGAGGGGGAAGGGGGAGGGGAGGAGGGAAUUGUGUGGCCAGCUGAGCCACAUGUGAUCCAGAUCAUACCACCUGCCUGCACACAUCUUGUCUCUCAAACUUGCAUCCUCUUAUCUGUAAAGUGGGCAUGUUAGUCUGCUCAAGAGCCAUAACACAGCGCCACAGAUUGGGUAGCUUAAACAACUAGACUCAUUUUCUCGUGGCUCUAGAGAAUAGAGGUUCAAAUUCAAGGUGUGGACAGGGCUUGCUCCUCCUGAGGCUUAUCUCCUUGGCUGGCAGAUACCAUCUUCUCCCUGUGUCCUCAUCUCUUCUUAUAAGGGCAUCAGUCCUAUUGGAUUAUGACCUCAUUUUAACUUGGCUAC